rnacentral:rRNA from 1 species
UACGGAAGGUGCAAGCGUUAUCCGGAUUCACUGGGUUUAAAGGGUGCGUAGGUGGGAAUGUAAGUCAGUGGUGAAAUCUCCGUGCUUAACAUGGAAACUGCCAUUGAUACUAUGUUUCUUGAAUCUUCCGGAGGUUAGCGGAAUAUGUCAUGUAGCGGUGAAAUGCUUAGAUAUGACAUAGAACACCAAUUGCGAAGGCAGCUAACUACAGGGGCAUUGACACUGAUGCACGAAAGCGUGGGGAUCAAACAGG